CUACCUACAUACAUACAUACAUACAUACAUACAUACAUACACACACACACACACACACACACACACACACACACACACACACACACACACACACACACACACACACAUACAUACAUACAUACAUACAUACAUACAUACUGUAUGUUUGUCAUUUUAUGUUUCUUCUUCUUCACAACAUUGCUCUAAAACCAUGGAUUCCAUUGAUACUAUUUUUGCUAAGGAAAUGCUGUCUUUUUUUCACACUAACCUGGUCUGCCUUAACAAAACAAACCUUAAGAACAAACAAACAAACACAUAAUAACAAAAAACAUACAAUUUACCUCAUGUUUUACCUGCACCUUUAGUGGCAGAGUGAGAUAGGAUGACUCAGGAAUUCUAGAACCAGAACCUUGAUAAUCCUUACUUCAGGUAUUCUAGAAGCCUGAAAGUCCUUCAGGUAUUCUAGAAACCGGAUAAUCCUUACUUCAGGUGUUCUAGAACCCUGAUAAUCCUUACUUCAGGUGUUCUAGAACCCUGAUAAUCCUUACUUCAGGUAUUCUAGAAGCCUGAUAAUCCUUACUUCAGGUAUUCUAAGAAUUCCGAAGACAUGUCGGCACUUUGUGGUCUGAUGCUGAUGCAAUAUCUCCUCACCAUUUCAAACUACCUCCGAUUUCCACCGCAACAACCUGAAAACUCCAAGCUCAAGGAAUGCACACUGCCCUGCUACACAGUACUGCACAGUACCACACAGUACUAAAUAGUAGUACACAGUACCACACAGUACUAAAUAGUACUACAUAGUAUUACUACACACUACAAUGCAUGGGGUGUCAGUGUGUGUGUGUCAACGAGCUAACUUGUUAUAAAAGUUGUUGUCUUGUGUCUCACAGACAUGUUCUGUGUAAUGUUCUGUGUAAGUCUGACAGGUCAUUUACUGAAAUCAGGAGUUUAAAAAGAUAUAUAUAUAUUUCCUAAUGUAGAACUCAUAAGCAGCUAAUGGAAGAAGCACUGUGGUGUCUUUAUUUUCACACGAACAUUAGUGUUUGUAUCUAAAUCCUAACGAGACACCCACUUGUACCUUUCCUCAACUGGGCCUUCUGUUUGACAAACUGUUCACUUGAAUAUAUUUGUUUUUCUGAUUUACUCAACGUUUUUUUAUUUUAAUUAAGGAUCAAGUGCUUGUAUGACACGACACGAUAUUAUUGUUUGUUUGUUUUUGCUCUGAUUUUUGUCUGAACUCUGUACUAUUCAUAUACAUUAUGUACCUCAAACUAACUGCUAAAAAAAAUGGACAUAUAAUCGAUUGACAAAUACCUACCUCCAGUCUUGAAAAGGAAUUGAUUUUUUUGCCGGGGUUUCUUUCAAUAUCAGUGUGAGUUUUGAUAAUGUAUGAUGAAAUCUAUCGAUAUUAUGGACUGCAAAAGAUCCCUUAUACUCAGAAGUAUUUUUUUUAAACUUGUUUUCAAAACUUCUGAACAAGUAAAUGUUUUCUUCACCCUGCGGAAGAAAUAGCCUUCAAAAAAAAAAAAAAAAAUGUAUCUUGAAGAUUUUCAGGUUUUGAAAAAUAUAUGUUUGGGUUUUGUAUAUUGUAUUCAUGGAUUUUGUUUUUUUAAUUAGUAGAUAUUGAUAUACUUGAUUAGCUAUUUUGUGUACUUUUAUGACACGUGAUUUAAUUUUUCUUGUUGUUAUGGUUCAACCAGAUGUAUAUGAAAAUGCUUCUUUAAGUAGUGAUGGAUUACAACUUUUAAAUGUUAACAUGGUAUAUUCUCAUACAGGCCUGAGGUAGGGAGCCUCAGAGAGUUAGCCAAACAACCCAACAUGCCCUUUCCACUCACACAGGCCUGGGUAGGGAGCCUCAGAGAGUUAGCCAAACAACCCAACAUGCCCUUUCCACUCACACAGGCCUGAGGUAGGGAGCCUCAGAGAGUUAGCCAAACAACUCAACAUGCCCUUUCCACUCACACAGGCCUGCAAGCUGCAAUUCAAACUUGACAUCAGUCAGUUUUAAGCUGCUUUCAUGUGCUCUCUGAAUUAUAUUGAUACUUCCGAGUUACUCAGUCGGAUACUUCCGAGUUUCUCAGUUUGAGACUUCUGAGUUUCUGUUGGAUACUUCCAAGUUUCUCAAUUUGAGACUUCCGAGUUUCUCAGUUUGAGACUUCCGAGUUUCUCAGUUUGAGACUUCAGAG
ensembl:lncRNA